rnacentral:rRNA from 1 species
CCUACGGGAGGCAGCAGUAGGGAAUCUUCCACAAUGGGCGAAAGCCUGAUGGAGCAACGCCGCGUGGGUGAAGAAGGUCUUCGGAUCGUAAAACCCUGUUGUUAGAGAAGAAAGUGCGUGAGAGUAACUGUUCACGUUUCGACGGUAUCUAACCAGAAAGCCACGGCUAACUACGUGCCAGCAGCCGCGGUAAUACGUAGGUGGCAAGCGUUAUCCGGAUUUAUUGGGCGUAAAGGGAAAGGAGGCGGGCUUUUAAGUCUGAUGGGAAAGCCUUCGGGUUAACCGGGGUAGUGCAUUGGAAACUGGGAGACCUGAGUGCAGAAGAGGAGAGUGGAACUCCAUGUGUAGCGGUGAAAUGCGUAGAUAUAUGGAAGAACACCAGUGGCGAAAGCGGCUCUCUGGUCUGUAACUGACGCUGAGGUUCGAAAGCGUGGGUAGCAAACAGGAUUAGAUACCCCAGUAGUC